rnacentral:rRNA from 1 species
AGUGAACGCUGGCGGUAGGCCUAACACAUGCAAGUCGAACGGCAGCACAGUAAGAGCUUGCUCUUACGGGUGGCGAGUGGCGGACGGGUGAGGAAUACAUCGGAAUCUACUUUUUCGUGGGGGAUAACGUAGGGAAACUAACGCUAAUACCGCAUACGACCUACGGGUGAAAGCAGGGGAUCUUCGGACCUUGCGCGAUUGAAUGAGCCGAUGUCGGAUUAGCUAGUUGGCGGGGUAAGGGCCCACCAAGGCGACGAUCCGUAGCUGGUCUGAGAGGAUGAUCAGCCACACUGGAACUGAGACACGGUCCAGACUCCUACGGGAGGCAGCAGUGGGGAAUAUUGGACAAUGGGCGCAAGCCUGAUCCAGCCAUACCGCGUGGGUGAAGAAGGCCUUCGGGUUGUAAAGCCCUUUUGUUGGGAAAGAAAAGCAGCAGGUUAAUACCCCGCUGUUCUGACGGUACCCAAAGAAUAAGCACCGGCUAACUUCGUG